rnacentral:rRNA from 1 species
GUCUACAGUCAUGCCACUCUGAACAAGCCCGAUCCUGUCUGAUCUCGGAAGCUAAGCAGGGUCGGGCCUGGUUAGUACUUAGAUGGGAGACCACCUAGGAAGACCGAGUACUGUAGGCA